rnacentral:rRNA from 1 species
GCAAGUCGAACGGCGGCACGGGUGCUUGCACCUGGUGGCGAGUGGCGAACGGGUGAGUCAUACAUCGGAACGUACCUUAUCGUGGGGGAUAACGCAGCGCAUGCUGUGCUACUACCUCAUCCCCCCUGAGUGGGAAAGCGGGGGAUCGAAAGACCUCGCGCGAUUAGAGCGGCCGAUGCAUGAUUAGCUUGUUGGUGGAGUAAGAGCCCACCAAGGCGACGAUCAGUAGCUGGUCUGAGAGGACGAUC